CUCCUACUGAAGCAAGCAAAAAGGACUCCAAAAGUGUCUUUCCUAGUGAAAACCGGUCCUUCCUCAGAAAGAAAGCUUUAUCGGCUGAUCAGGAGCUGUCACUGACAUUCUGUUGCUUGGGGAUCGGUGACAGAGGGACCCAGAUUUCUUCCCUCUUAGCUAUCACAAGGGCAUACCUACAUAAAGACCAACUGAAGCUUCCUUGGGAGAAGCUGGCAGCUCAGGCAUAGUGGGGAGAGCAAAAUAUCUGGGAAGUAGGGAAGAAAAGAAAAAAGUUUUCUGGGUAUACGUUCACUUUGUGUGUGCAUCUGUAAGAUCAAGGAAAAUCACAUUUUCUGUCUACGUCAGUGAUACCCAUGAUGCCCUCAGCUCCACGAUUAAGAUUCCCAGAGAGACAAGGAGACAAAGACAAGAGAAGAGACAUUGGUGGAGCCUGACUAGAGAUGCGAGGCAUAGCUGAAGAGACUUGAAGAUAUGUCUUCAACUCUGAUCCCUGAUGAACCCCUUCAACUUGGCUACUUGAGCUGGGUGCUGACCUGCCUCAGUUUGCUACCUAAACUCCUCAGGUAAAUUACAGCUAGUGACAACCACCUGGCAUCACACAGCAGUGUUUCUAGGGUGGUGUCACUGAUGGAGGUAGUCUAUCCAGAACCCCUGCUUAAAGAAGAACCAGUGUUUUGUUCAGUCAGGAGCUGAAUAUUUCCAUGGUUGGAAUGUCUCCACAACCUCACUGGCUUCCUAUUCCAUUGUUUGACCACUCUCAUGGUGAAAAUAUUUCUCUUGUAUCAAGUGGGGAAUUUCCAGUAUUGCAGCUUGUGCCCACCGCAUCUUAUCCUCCCACCUCACCUAACUGAGUAGAGUGUGGCUGCAUUUUCUCUUCAUUCUCCUAAGACGCAGCUGCAAGUAGCAAUAAGGUCUCCACCUUCUCCUCAUAAGGAUAUGCAAAUCCAGUUCUUGGAAGUGGCAGGCCAGAGGCUGUAUCUAAUCACUUCAGCCACCCCCAGCUAUGCCAACCCCACUCCUGAAUCAGAGCCCAUAAAGCUGUCAGUUGGGAAAU